CCUGUCUACACUUGCUGUCUUCCUUCCUCACCUCCAAUUUCCUCUUCAACCCACUGCUUCCUGACUCGCUCUACUCCGUGGAAGCACGCUCACAAAGUUCCUGACCUGGCCAUCCCGGGGUGCCCUUGACCAGCCCCGUGUCUCCUCAGGGUGUCCCAGCACCAGCCUGGCACAGAGUGGGGCUCAGUUAGAGUAUGUGGGAUGUUGGUUUCGCCAGGCACGUGGGCCGUGGCCCGGCUGGGUCGGCUGAAGAACUGCGGAUGGAAGCUGCGGAAGAGGCCCUGAUGGGGCCCACCAUCCCGGACCCAAGUCUUCUUCCUGGCGGGCCUCUCGUCUCCUUCCUGGUUUGGGCGGAAGCCAUCACCUGGAUGCCUACGUGGGAAGGGACCUCGAAUGUGGGACCCCAGCCCCUCUCCAGCUCGAAAUCCCUCCACAGCCACGGGGACACCCUGCACCUAUUCCCACGGGACAGGCUGGACCCAGAGACUCUGGACCCGGGGCCUCCCCUUGAGUAGAGACCCGCCCUCUGACUGAUGGACGCCGCUGACCUGGGGUCAGACCCGUGGGCUGGACCCCUGCCCACCCCGCAGGAACCCUGAGGCCUAGGGGAGCUGUUGAGCCUUCAGUGUCUGCAUGUGGGAAGUGGGCUCCUUCACCUACCUCACAGGGCUGUUGUGAGGGGCGCUGUGAUGCGGUUCCAAAGCACAGGGCUUGGCGCACCCCACUGUGCUCUCAAUAAAUGUGUUUCCUGUCUUAACAAAAA
rnacentral:lncRNA from 1 species